CAGCAGCCGCGGUAAUACCGGCGGCCCGAGUGGCGGUCACUAUUAUUGGGCUUAAAACGUCCGUAGCCGGGUUGGGAAAUCCUCCGGGAAAUCUGGCCGCUUAACGGUCAGAAUGCCGGAGGAUACUCCCAGCCUAGGGAGCGGGAGAGGCCGAGGGUAUUCCCGGAGUAGGGGUGAAAUCCUAUAAUCCCGGGAGGACCACCUGUGGCGAAGGCGCUCGGCUGGAACGCGUCCGACGGUGAGGGACGAAGGCCAGGGGAGCAAACCGGAUUAGAUACCCGGGUAGUCCUGGCUGUAAACGAUGCGGACUUUGUGUCGGACAAGCUAUGAGCUUGUCCGGUGCCGGAGGGAAACCGUUAAGUCCGCCGCCUGGGGAGUACGGCCGCAAGGUUGAAACUUAAAGGAAUUGGCGGG
rnacentral:rRNA from 1 species